UAAGGGAACUCAGGUUGGUUCAUGUGUGACCUCUCCAACAACCGCAGUUUGCCACUUUCAACUUCCUUUGGGAGGAGUGAGUGUAAUAAUAUGGUGGAAUGGGCUUGGACUUCUCCUAUAGCAUUGCAGUGGCAGAGGAGCUGGGAAGUAUCCGGUGUGGAGGUAUCCCUAUGGCUAUUGGGGUGCAAGCUGGUAUGGCCACUCCUGCGCUAACAAGAUUUGGUUCUGAUGAGUU